AUAGGUUAAUGAGGCGAACCGGGGGAACUGAAACAUCUAAGUACCCCGAGGAAAAGAAAUCAACCGAGAUUCCCCCAGUAGCGGCGAGCGAACGGGGAGGAGCCCAGAGCCUGAAUCAGUGUGUGUGUUAGUGGAAGCGUCUGGAAAGGCGCGCGAUACAGGGUGACAGCCCCGUACACAAAAAUGCACAUGCUGUGAGCUCGAUGAGUAGGGCGGGACACGUGGUAUCCUGUCUGAAUAUGGGGGGACCAUCCUCCAAGGCUAAAUACUCCUGACUGACCGAUAGUGAACCAGUACCGUGAGGGAAAGGCGAAAAGAACCCCGGCGAGGGGAGUGAAAAAGAACCUGAAACCGUGUACGUACAAGCAGUGGGAGCACGCUUAGGCGUGUGACUGCGUACCUUUUGUAUAAUGGGUCAGCGACUUAUAUUCUGUAGCAAGGUUAACCGAAUAGGGGAGCCGAAGGGAAACCGAGUCUUAACUGGGCGUUAAGUUGCAGGGUAUAGACCCGAAACCCGGUGAUCUAGCCAUGGGCAGGUUGAAGGUUGGGUAACACUAACUGGAGGACCGAACCGACUAAUGUUGAAAAAUUAGCGGAUGACUUGUGGCUGGGGGUGAAAGGCCAAUCAAACCGGGAGAUAGCUGGUUCUCCCCGAAAGCUAUUUAGGUAGCGCCUCGUGAAUUCAUCUCCGGGGGUAGAGCACUGUUUCGGCAAGGGGGUCAUCCCGACUUACCAACCCGAUGCAAACUGCGAAUACCGGAGAAUGUUAUCACGGGAGACACACGGCGGGUGCUAACGUCCGUCGUGAAGAGGGAAACAACCCAGACCGCCAGCUAAGGUCCCAAAGUCAUGGUUAAGUGGGAAACGAUGUGGGAAGGCCCAGACAGCCAGGAUGUUGGCUUAGAAGCAGCCAUCAUUUAAAGAAAGCGUAAUAGCUCACUGGUCGAGUCGGCCUGCGCGGAAGAUGUAACGGGGCUAAACCAUGCACCGAAGCUGCGGCAGCGACACUAUGUGUUGUUGGGUAGGGGAGCGUUCUGUAAGCCUG
rnacentral:rRNA from 1 species